rnacentral:rRNA from 1 species
CGUCAAAUCAUCAUGCCCUUUAUGUCCUGGGCUACACACGUGCUACAAUGGUCGGUACAAAGGGCAGCGAGCGAGCGAUCGUGAGCGAAUCCCAUAAAGCCGAUCCCAGUUCGGAUUGCAGGCUGCAACUCGCCUGCAUGAAGUCGGAGUUGCUAGUAAUCGUGGAUCAGAAUGCCACGGUGAAUGCGUUCCCGGGUCUU